CAAGUCGCACGAGAAAGUGGAGCAAUCCAUGAGUACAGUGGCGCACGGGUGAGUAACACGUGAAUCAUCUACCUCCGAGUGGGGAAUAACCUAGAGAAAUCUGGGCUAAUACCGCAUAACACUUACGAGUCAAAGCAGCAAUGCGCUUGGAGAGGAGUUCGCGGCCGAUUAGCUAGUUGGCGGGGUAAUGGCCCACCAAGGCGAUGAUCGGUAUCCGGCCUGAGAGGGCGCACGGACACACUGGAACUGAAACACGGUCCAGACUCCUACGGGAGGCAGCAGUGGGGAAUUUUGCGCAAUGGGGGAAACCCUGACGCAGCAACGCCGCGUGGAGGAUGAAAUCCCUUGGGAUGUAAACUCCUUUCGAUGGGGAAGAUUAUGACGGUACCCAUAGAAGAAGCCCCGGCUAACUUCGUGCCAGCAGCCGCGGUAAUACGAGGGGGGCAAGCGUUGUUCGGAAUUAUUGGGCGUAAAGGGUGCGUAGGCGGUCUGACAAGUCUGAUGUGAAAUCUAUGGGCUCAACCCAUAGUCUGCAUCGGAAACUGUCGGGCUUGAGUAUGGGAGAGGUGAGUGGAAUUUCCGGUGUAGCGGUGAAAUGCGUAGAUAUCGGAAGGAACACCUGUGGCGAAAGCGGCUCACUGGACCAUUACUGACGCUGAGGCACGAAAGCUAGGGGAGCAAACAGGAUUAGAUACCCUGGUAGUCCUAGCCCUAAACGAUGAUCGCUUGAUGUGGCAGGUACCCAAUCCUGCAGUGUCGAAGCUAACGCGAUAAGCGAUCCGCCUGGGGAGUACGGUCGCAAGGCUGAAACUCAAAGGA
rnacentral:rRNA from 1 species